CCAUGUUUCCUGGAUGCGCUGAAACAUUCCAAGAAUCUCAAGAAUCCAGUAGGAGCAGUAGACAACAAGAGCAGCACCAAAAGAUUCGCCAUUUCCGACGUGGAGAUGUCAUUGCUUUGCCAGCAGGAAUAGCCCACUGGUGCUACAACGAUGGCAAUGAACCCCUUAUUGCUGUCAGUGUUUUGGACACUGGCAACAACGCUAACCAGCUUGACAGGAACCCCAGAGUAAUAAAGAGACAAAAACNNNUGACUAAUAUCGACUUGAAUUUCUUUGCUUCUCUUGAACUUGUUUCGCAGAAUUUCUACCUAGCCGGUAAUCCAGAAGAUGAGUUCCAGCAACAAUCCAGACGCCCAGGUGAGCGUGGACACGGAGAGUAUUCCCUUGGAGGCAGCAGCGAGAGACGACAGCGAUCUUGCAACAAUGUGUUCUGCGGAAUGGACUCAAGGUUUAUCGCUGAAGCUUUCAACAUUGAUGAGCAAUUGGCUAGAAGGAUUCAAGGUCAGGAUGACGCCAGAGGCAACAUAGUGAGGGUCGAAGGUCGUAUUCAGGUAACGAGGCCACCCAGGACUCAACAAGAGAGAGAGGAGCAACUAGAACGCGAGUAUGAACAAGGCCGUCGACAUUACAAUGGCAUUGAGGAGACUUUUUGCACCAUGAGGAUGAGGGAAAACAUUGCUGAUCCCUCACGCGCUGAUAUCUUCGUCCCUGAAGUUGGUCGUAUGAGCACCGUCAACAGCCACAGUCUCCCUAUCCUUCGGUGGCUCAAACUCAGUGCUUCACAUGCUGUUCUCCGCAAUGUAAGUCAAAUAGCCCAUUCCAUAGCCAAUGGCACAUCAUCAUUUGCGCUGCUUCCAUAAUUCAUAACUAAAGAUGAAUAAUGUUAUUCGCAGAAUGCUGUGAGACUGCCUCACUGGCACAUGAAUUCCCAUAGCAUAUUAUAUGCCAUAAGGGGUCAAGCACGGAUUCAGGUGGUAAAUGAAAAUGGCAACAGUGUCUUCGACGGUAGUGUAAGGCAAGGACAAGUCCUGACACUGCCACAGAACUUUGUGGUGGUGAAUAGGGCAGAGAGUGACAAUUUCGAAUACGUUUCCUUCAAUACCAAUGACAAUGCCGUGGCCUUUGAUGUUGCUGGCCGCACCUCAGCCCUUCGGGGCAUGCCAGUGGAAGUAAUUGCAAACGCAUUCAGAGUUUCGAUAGAGGAAGCCAGGAGGAUCAAGUUCGGGAGGGAGGAGACCACCCUUGGUAGCUCACUGUCUCAGCCAAGGAGGGCAGCUGCUUAAGCAGUAAAAUUACAGUAUGAACAAUGUAAACUAAAGGAACACACACCCUUUUUCGUGUUAAUGUAAGUAUGAUGUUUAGAAAUAAAAGAGACUUCCAUGGUCUCUGUACGCUGUAAGCACGUAAGUAGAGAGGACUUCUACUUGGCAAUAAAAAUGCUUCUUAUUUUAUGAAGUAAUUGGUUCCUCGUCCUUUGGCAGAGAAUAAAUUUGGUGAUAAAUUGACCUGAAACGCCAAAUGUAAUAUCAAAAAACAAGACUAUACAUAUCCUAUUGUCAUAGGAUCAUCAUUAUUCUGAAGGCCCUUAAUUUGCUUCUAAAUUAAUCCAUUUGCAUGUAUAACUAGAGCACUAAACAAGAGCAAGUACUACCACAUUGAAAUACACAGAACAGAAGACGUGUUAUAAAAUAAAUACCAACAUUCAUAUCCGACUGGAAAUUGGAAUUAGAGCACUAUUGCAUUUCUUUUAUCAAUCAAUUAAGCAAUGGAUAUGUUCAAAUAAAUUAGGAAUCAACUUUUAUGCAAAUAGUUCACCAAACAUGAUGUAAGUUUCUAAUAUGAUACUCCUGCAAAAUUUGUUUACAUCAAUACCCCUAUUACAAAAAACAACAGCAUCUCAUUUUAUUCAAACACAAUAGUAGCAAGCUUGAUUUUUCUUUCUUCGGGGCUGCUGUAAGCUUUUCCUUUACAUUCCUGCUAAACCAGCUUAUCUCCUUUGCUCCAAACUAAUCUGAUUCUGUUGAUACGAACAAAAGUAAACCUUGCCCCAAACUGAAGCAGAAAUAAUAGCACAUUUAGAAAAUAAGUGCUCCCAGCAAUUUACCUUGUCAAAAUUAGGUCUUCCGGGCACUAAUAAUAAAAAAAAUAUCACUGAAUUUUAAGUAUCAGGUAUAUGAUCUUUACUUAAGAAUUUUAAAGUAACUGCAUAUUUAAAGUUCGAACUUAAUACCUUAGUUAAACUAAAAAAAACCUUUACCAUCUAAUCUACACAUUCUUUUUGGAUUUUAGCGACUAAUUAUUGUAUUUCAACUAUCGCAAAUAUUUUUAAAAAAAUUAAUAAAUUUAAUAAGCAUCUAUUGCUAAGGGUGUCAUCGAGAUAAAACACAAAAUGAAUGAAUUAUGCCAACUACGAUAAUCGAUAUGUUUUAUUAAAGCUAAAGGGUUAAUUUGGCCCCUAAACUAUUUUUCAAAAUCUAAUUCUUUCCAAAUCAGUUUCUUGGCUAAUUACAUCAAAAUUCGCUGUAAAAAAUGUGUGAGCCUCAAAAUCAUUUUACCAAAAAUUUCAACAUAUCUUUUCUUCCUCCUGUUGUUGUGAUAAUAAGCCUUAGUCUCAAACGAUCAAUCACGACUUGAUUUUCUAAAAGUAGUAGCAUCAGACUCGUUCCGACAACGACAACAGUUUUGGAGAUCAGGGGUUUCAAGAGACAAUUGAUUUUCUUAAAAUAUUUUCAAACUAGUUUAGGGGGUGUUUGGAACUAAUCAGCCAUUAACCAGAGACUUUUAUAUAGUUUGGCCAAAAAUUAAAUCAAGCUGAAUUAACUUUGGAAAAUAAUUCAGAGGCCAAACACUUUUAAAACUGUCGACAAUUACUUCUUAUAUAUCAAUUUCCCAACUUCUCUUGGAGCCGACCCAAAUGGUGGAUAAACUUUGUAUUAAAUUUGUUUUUAUUAUAAGAUUUUACUUUGUUGUAUUUUAAUCAUUUAAUUUAAACUAUAUUUAAGUCACUUUCAUGAACAAAAGAUUGAUACUUCACAAAUACAAUGAAUAGAGAAAAGAACAAAUAAAAGAAACUCUCUAACUUAGAAAGGUGAUUAAAAUCAAAAUUAGGAAACUGAAACAAAUUUGGCAUCAUUAUUCCAACCACUUGUCAAAGAAUAUAAAAUCUAUUGUAUACUUAAUUUUUGUUUUCUUGGUAGAAACAUAUAGGGCAGAACCAAAACAGAAAGAUUAUACUUUAAUAAAAUUUAUGCCCACGUCAUAUCCAAAUUACAAAUCAGAGGUACCACUUGGAGGUUCAAGAUACACUUCAGUCAAUCGCAUUUACAAAAACGGUUCACCUACCUAAUUAACAAGAAAAUUAUUAUUUAUAAAAGUUAGUCGUUUACCGUGACUGUCGUAAUUAUUUUCAAUAUUAAUAAUAAUAGAAAUUGUGUCUAUAUAUAAAAUUAAAUAAUUUUUUUAAUAUUUUAUAAUUAUUUAAAAUAUUUAAAAAUAAAUUAAAUAUGUUUAACUACUUUGUUAGUUUUUUAUCUUUUAAAAUUUUAUUAAUAUAAUAAUAUAAAAUUAUAAAAAAAAAAACUAUAAAAUUAUAUAUAAACUUGAAUUCUACAUGUCAAUAAUUAGUACACAUGUCAAAAUUUAAAAUUAUAUGUGUCAGAAUAUGGUAACAAAUGUAAAAAAAAAAAUUAUUAGACCAUAUACAUAUUAAAAUUUUUAUUUAUUUAUAUGUAUUAAAAUAUUCAUUUUUUUUAUGUAUAAUGUCCAUUAGAUGUAAUAUUCUAUAAUAAUUAAUUUUUUUGUAUUGAAAUAUUCAUUAUCUAUGAACUUAAUAUUCAUUAUGAUUAAUGUCGUGUUUAUUUUGUUUGAUAUAUUAUUUUUCAAUAUUAGUAUUAAUAUUUAUUAUAUGGUACUACAAUAUUCAUUGUCCGUAUAAUAAUGUUCAUCAAUAUUUUUAAAUAUUGAUUUUUUUAUGAAAAUUUUUAUUGUUUUUGUAAUGCAUGUUGAAAAAAAUUAUGGUUGAUAUAAACAUUUAUCAUUUAUAGGCAUAAUACUUAUUAAUUUGUCAUUGAUGAAAAUCAUACUACUAAUUCAUUAAAAUGAAUAUAUAUAAUAUAAAUCAUCCUAACAUAGUCAGUAAAAAAAAUAUCAAGUUAAAAUUAUAAUAUAAAUAAUUAUACUGUAGUGCACGUAUCUUUUCAAUAGAUUAAAUUGAUUAAUAAUGAAUAUUUUAUAUUUAAAUAGUAAAUAUUUAAUGUAUGUUUAAUAAUUAUAAAUUAAUAAAUAUUAAUUAUUUUUAAAAAAAAUUACGUUAUCAUCUAGUAUGAACGUCAACGUGUCAGGCGCUCACGCGAAUAUUUUUACAAACAAAAUGGCGCUUGAGGCAAUAAAGCUAUAUGUAAAAGGCUCUAUCUUAUAAUUUGAUUAAAAUUGAACUCCCAAUGGGUAGCCAUUAAAAUCGCCUACCACAUAUAGAAAGUAACAACCAUAAUUGAACACUUCACCAAGUGAAUCAAUUUUAAAAGGAAAAUUAAAAAUGUGAAGCAUAAAAGAAAACAAGAGAAAAUUAUUCACUAUACUGCACUAUAUAGACUUACAGUGGUAAUCAAUGAGUUGCUUACCCUUCAAACAAAUCUAAUUUAAAAAUAAAUAUAAAAUGUCCAUGAAGACGCAUACAAAGACAAAUUAGCUGUUAGUAUUCUCAUCCUUUUCAUGGCCACUCUUGCAUUCAUCUCUCAAGUUUUGAGACACUUGCCCAACCUGACUUUAUUAGGUGUAAGAUAUUAGGCCAGAUUAACCAUGCAAAUUCAAGAGUAAGCUAAACAGUUCUCGUCCUUAUGGCCUUCCUCUGCUAUAAAUACCAACCUCUACCACCCCAUUUAUCACAAAUUAUAAACAGCAUUCCCUCCUCUGUAGCUACCACCAAGAUGGUUAAGCCAAUCCUGCUGUGUGCUUCUCUUUGCCUUAUUCUUCUCUUCCAUGGCUCCUCUGCUGGCUCUUCAUUUCAGCAGCAAAACGAGUGCCAACUCAAUAGGCUCAAUGCCUUUGAACCUGAUAACCGUAUUCAGAGCGAAGCUGGUACAAUUGAGUCAUGGAAUCCUAACCACGAUCAGUUCCAGUGCGCUGGUGUGGCUGUAACCAGGCACACUAUUGAACCCAGAGGCCUUCUGUUGCCAGCUUACAGCAAUGCUCCCCAACUCGUCUAUAUAGUCCAAGGUAUGUAGAAAUACGAAGUCUUUCUUUCAAAAGCAGCAAAAGAAGAUUACUUGCGUUUGCAUUUGUUUGAUAAGUGCUUACGAUGAUGGACUUAAAUAUGUAAAUUCAGGUAGGGGUAUGUUCGGGGUAAUGUUUCCUGGAUGCUCUGAAACAUUCCAAGAAUCUCAACAAUCCAGUAGCAGCAGUGGGCAACAAGAGCAGCACCAAAAGAUUCGUCAUUUCCGCCGUGGCGAUAUCAUUGCUUUGCCUGCAGGAGCAGCCCACUGGUGCUACAACGAUGGCAACGAACCCGUUGUUGCUGUCACUGUUUUUGACACUGCCAACAACGCUAACCAGCUUGACAGGAAUCCCAGGGUACGUAAUAAAGAAACAAAAACCUACAUGACUAUAGAUAUUGAUUAAUUAAGGUUGGUUUGGCUAAUACCAAUUUAAAUUUAUUUGCUUCUUUUCUACUUGUUUCACAGAACUUCUAUCUAGCCGGUAAUCCAGAAGAUGAAUUCCAGAAACAAUCCAGACGCCCAGGUGAGCGUGAACAGGGACGAUAUUCCCUUAGCGGUGCCAGCGAGCGACGACGGGGAUCUUGCAACAAUGUGUUCUGUGGAAUGGACUCAAGGCUCAUCGCUGAAGCUUUCAACAUCAACGAGCAAUUGGCUAGAAAGCUUCAAAGCGAGAAUGAUUUCAGAGGCAACAUAGUGUGGGUGGAAGGUGAUCUUCAGGUAACAAGGCCACCAAGGACUCAACAAGAGAGAGAGGAGCAAGAAGCGCGUGAAUAUGAAGAAAGCAGGGGACAUGAAAGAACUUACAAUGGCAUUGAGGAGACCUUCUGCACCAUGAGAAUGAAGGAAAACAUUGCUGAUCCAUCACGCGCUGAUAUCUUCGUCCCUGAAGUUGGUCGUAUGAGCACCGUCAACAGCCAUAACCUCCCUAUUCUCCGGAGCCUCCGACUCAGUGCUUCCCAUGUUGUCCUCCGCAAUGUAAGUUUAAUUAUUUCCUUCUUAAUCCCUUGAUUGCCGAUGGCGCAUCAAAAGACUUAUGCCAUUACUGAUGAUCUGGGUAUGUUAUUGGGCAGAAUGCUGUUAGAAUGCCCCACUGGAACACGAAUGCCCACAGUGUAAUAUACGCCAUAAGGGGUCAAGCACAGAUUCAGGUUGUUGAUGAAAAUGGCAGGAGUGUCUUUGACGGCAAUGUAAGGCAAGGGCAGGUUCUGACAGUACCACAAAACUUCAUGGUAGUUAAAAGGGCAGAGAGUGAUAGAUUCGAGUAUGUUGCCUUCAAAACCAACGAUAACGCCAUGACUUUCGAUGCUGCUGGGCGCACUUCUGCUAUUAGAGCCAUGCCAAUAGAGGUCGUAGCCAACGCAUUUCAGGUGUCGGUGGACGAAGCCAGGAGGAUCAAGUUCGAGAGGCAGGAGUCCACCUUUGGUAGGUCCAGGACUCGCUCAGGGAGGAGAGAUGUUGCUUGAGGAAGCAUUGUAAAAUUAAAAUAAGAGGCACACACUUGGCCGUUUUUUGUUCUCUGAGUGUGCAACUAAAUAUAAGGUCUAGAAAUAAAGGAUACUUUGAUGGUCUCUCAUAUUACGCUUAUGUAAGUAGGAAGAGCUUCUACUUGGCAAUAAACAAAAUCUUCUCUUUUAUCUUUUAUCCUUUUUUUUUUUUUUAUCUGGUCUAUGAAGAAGCAAUAAAGAGAUCGUUUCUUCUUUUUUACCUUUUCUUUCUCUGUCCAUGAAGAAGAGAUGUAAAUGUCAAUUUUGAACAUGCUCGUGCUUGACCUUCCAUAUUCGAUAUGAAGAAGGUUACUAAUCCUCGACAGAACACAUCCAUAUUCGAUAGGGUGUUGUUUAGCAGCGGUGGUCCUUUGCAUUUGGUUGUUGAUUGUAUUUGAAUUAGUGUCUCUGAGAUUAUGAAAAUCCGAUGGUAUGCUAGUUGGCUGCCUAAACUGCUGUAACAGGUUAGUUGGCUGCCUCGCCCUUGACUUGGUUUAAAGUUAAUUCUGAUGGUGAGUCGUUGUCUUCUUCUGGUUUAGCCAUGGCUGGUGGCUAAUUAGGAAUCAUUAGGGGGUUUACAUUUAAUAUUGGUGCUUGUUCUAUAACUAGAGCUGAAAUGUGGGGUAUGCUUAAGGGUAUUCAAUUGGCUCGAGAGUUGAAGUUGAUAGUCAAUGCGCUGUCCAUUUGGUGCAGAAUUCUGCUAGACUGGGUAAUGCGAAUGGUGCUAUUAUAAGAGAAAUUCAUCAGUUUGUUUCUAAUAAAGACUCGGAGGUAAGAAUUGUUUUGCGACUUAGUUCGGCUGCACAUUGCAUUGGGUGGCUAAUAGCUAGUAAUUCAAAGUUGAUAAAAUAAAUAGUUUUAUAAAAUUUUAUUAGUAUAUUAAAUAGUUAUUAAAGAUAUAAUCUAGUUUUACAUAUAUAUUUAAUUUUAUUAUACUAUCUUUAAUAAUAUAAAUUAAAAAAUAAAUUAUAAUAAUUAAAAAUAUUAUGGUUAAUUUUUUAGUUUAAUUGUAUUUGUAUUUAUUAUUAAAAAUAUUUGUAAAAGUUAUUUUUAAAAUAAAAAUUUAAAUUUAAAUUUUAUUAAAAAUUUAAUAAUUUCAAAUACUAUAAUUAUUUAACUAUUAAGAAUAAAUUUAAAAUAAUAAUUAUUUAUUAUAAAAUAUAAAAAUUUAAUUAUAUGAAAUCAACUUAAAGUAAGUUAUUAUUAAUAAAUUUUAAUAAGAAUAAUAGUAUCCAAAUAAAAAAGAAUAAAUCAGUUAUCAACUAAUAAAAAAAAAAUAAUUAGAGCCAGUACAAUCAAUAAUUGAUUGAACUAAAUCAGUUAUUAACUAUUGUUUUUUAAAUUUUUAUUAAAUAUUUUAAUAUAGUUAUUCAGUGAAAAAUAACUAAAUCAACUAUGAGUUGCUCAUUCUUAAGUCAUUACAAAACGCUUUAAUAUAGUUAUUUAGUAAGAAACAAAUAUCGGCUGCACAAAAGAAUUGAACCGAAUAUUCUCUUUAUAUCUAUAGAUAAAAGAACUUUAAAAUGAAUCGAACUCGAGCUUCUACCAUAUUAAAACAAAUAGAACUCCAGCUUGUCAAAAUUCGGCUCUACUCAAUUCCUUACGGUCCUAUUGUGCUGUUUUUAGUGCUCGGUUUAUUUGACUUUAGUUUUCUUUUUUACUUUUUCUUAUUUGUAAUAAUAAUAAAAAAAGAGGCAUGUAGUAAAAAAAAAAAUUAGGAUAAAAGAACAACGCAACUAAAAAAAGGCAGAAACAGAAGAGAUACAAGAUACGAUAAAACAACCAAAAAAAGGCAGAAGUAUAUAGGGCCAAAGAAAGGCAAUAAAAUUCUUCAAUAUGCCAUACACUUUGCUUUGCCUUACACUUCCAAAAGCCUGUCACUAUUCCUAACAAGACACUACAAUAGCAUAUUCUGAUCCAAUAAGAAAGUUAUCAACUUUCUUUUUUCUUCUUUUUUUAUUCUUCUUUUUCAUCGUGUAUAUAUAUAUUUAGAAUUAAUUUAGAGUUCGUCGGAUAAAACUUUUAUCCAUCACAAAAUACUAUCUCAAAAAUAAUAAUACAAUUGCAUACUCAAAAUUCGAAUUUGAAACCUUACUUAAGCUAGGUUAUAUUUUUAUCAUUUCAUUUACGCACUCUUAAAUAUAUAUAUAUAUUUUUUAUUAUUUAGAUGCAAAAGGCAAAAAUUAAUACCAAGCCCAAUGAUACAUGUUUUUUUUUAGAUAGAGAGGUAUUUGUAUUAAGUUCGCCCACACUCCGGCAACACUGUUCUCAUGCAGCCAUACCUAAUUGAAAUGGCAGAUUUAACUGAACAGGAGUUGUUUGUAUUUGGAGCCCAUAUUCUUUUAUCAGAUUGUAUAUUCUUUUAUCAGAUUCUAUAUGUAGAUCAUCAAUUUUGUUAUAUUUUGAUUGAAAUCCUUUAAGAAAUUCAUUUCAUUUAAAAAGAAUAACAUAAAAAAAAAAUUGAAAUAAUAAAAUUGAAAGAACUAUGUUGGUGUUAUGCAAUACACUUAUAAACUAAUAUANNNAACUAAUAUAAAUUUUAUUUAAAAAUUUUAUCUAUUUUGUUAGAAUUUAAUUUAGUUAAAUUCUACACAAAUUUUAUUAUAUAAAAUUCUAAGUUAAUAUUCACUUCAUUUAAAACAUAAAAAAUUUAAAUUUAUAAAUAAAUUAUAAAAUUUUUAUAAAUUACAACCAAACACAAUAAGUGACACUAAAACCAAUUCAGAUCGUGCCAAAUGUCCAUUUCUUUGAUAAGAAUAUUAUUGCCUAAACAAAAAAGGAGCAAAUUUAAUCCAAAUAUUAAUUCAAAAAUUUACCAAAAAAUUAGAUUUGGUGUAUGUUACCACCUAUAUACAAAAUCGAUAAAUGAUUGACAGAUAUUUAUUAGUAUUAAAUAAUAAAGUAUGUGUCAAUUAUCUAAUACUAAAACAUAAAAUACUCAUACAUACGUGUUAUUUUCUUAUUAGUUGUGGUAUAUAUAUAUAUAUAUAUAUAUAAAGCCUAAAUAAAAAAAUUUACAGCAUGGACUAAACUUACGAGAAUUUAAUAUGCUGGACAAAAUUUUGGUUCCAGUUGGGUCUGCAUAAUAUGUAUCCAAAUAGUAGACAUAUUUUGAGUUGAGGAUGAGGAUACCCAAUUAUAUAGUGUUAGACCAUACUUAUCCAAAUAAAUUCUUUUGAUUGGUUUAAAAAUAUGAGUUUUAUUGGAUUAUAUACAUUUGUAAAUUUCUUGGUCCAAUUUUAGUCUAUAUUAUAUUUAUAUAUAUCAGUGACACAUAUUGAUACAAUCCAUCUUUUUAUAUUUAAUAUUUAAUAAAUUAAUAAUUUUAUUCGUUAACAAAUUUUUGAAAAAUUAACUUCAUUCUUCUUUGGAUAAUUAGGAAAAAAUGCUAAUUAUUUAUGUAUUAUUUGCCUUUACAUUAUAUUUGGUUGUAACAAUAAUUUUGUAGAAUUUAUUUCAAAUCCAAAAUUUAUUUGUUUACUAUAUUAACGAGGUAAUAUAUUUCGUGAGAUUAAUAUCAUUUAAUUAUUUCAUAUUUUUGUCUCGUAUUUUUUAUCUAUAUAAUAUUAUUAAUUAUUCAAAAUGUAAUAUUAAUUUCAAUGGAAGUGAAUCAUAUACUUUUCAUUUAACACAAAAAAAAUAUUGUCAAUUCAUUUAUAAAUAAAAUGAAUUCAUCAAUCAAAGGUAAUAUUAGUGUUAUUAUUUUAAUAUUUAUUAUUAGUAGUAAAUUUGAAGUUUUAGAAGUUACCAAUUUUAAUAUCCGGGGAAGUUACCACUUAUAAGAACCUUUAAAAGUUAGUACAUGCAAAAAAAUGGAAGAAAAUUGACACAUAGGCCACCAACAAAAAGAAGUGAAAGGAAAUAAUAUUUUCUAUUAAAGGAAUGUGCAGCAUGAUUUUUACGCUAAUUACUUAUUUUCGAUUGAGAAUUAAUUAAUUAUUUUGUAUUUUCAUAACAACUGUUUCAUUUUAUAUAAUAACUUGUUAAUUUUAAAUUUAUAUAUAUAUAAUUUAUUAAAUUCUUUACAAAAAUACCCCGUUUCGCAAUAGUAAUAUUUUUACCUCCAAAAAGAAGUCUUAUAAAAAUUCCCCUUUUAACUAAAACUCUUUUAUAAAAAUAUGCUUUCUCCGUGAUGUGUUAUAUGUGCAUUUCUUGCAUGGUAUUUUACAUUCAAUAAAAAUACACUUAUUAAAAUAUUAAAAUAAGACACACGAUUAGUGGAUAUAUUUUUAAAAAAAUUUAUAAUGGUUAUUUUAUUUUUAUUUUUAUUUUUAUGACCUAUGUUUUUAUAUGAAUUUAAUUUCUUCUUUUAUUUUUCAGAAAUGCAUAUUUUAUAUUAAUUAAUUAAUUAAUAUAGAUGACUUCCUUAAUAAAUUACUAUAAAUUUAAACUUUACAUCACGACUAUAACACUCUAAAAUCUCAUCAUUUUUAAAAAUUUGAAAUCUGUCCUAUACACUUUAUACUAUAUAGUUAAGUUAUUUGUAGCUCGUGUUGGACAGUUUUUAAGUUAAUGUGAGAGUAAAUACUAACUUGUUCAUAUAUUUUUCCUUAUUUAAAUCAGUACAAACAUCCCAUUUUGCAUAAUUUUACGAGUGUAGUUUAAUUUUAAAUUUUUACAUAAUUAUAAAUAUGAAAUUUUUACAAAAUUAAUAAAAUUUAUACCUCUAAUACACACAAGCUCAAAAAAUCCCUUUCAAGCUAAUAUAUAUAUUCUAAUAAUUUAAAAUUAUUUCAAAAAGUAAAUAUCUCUGAAGACAAAUCAAAUUAACAAAAUAUCAACUAAAAUAAUUUAUUUAUUUUAUUUUUUACAUCAACAAAAUAAAUAAAAAAUAACCAUAAUCAAACACAAAAUAAAGUAAAUCUAAAUACUAAAAAGUAAUUUUUCAAGAAAAAAAAUUAAUUUCUAAUAUUGUGGAUCUUCUUCAACAUAAAAGUAACAUUUUAAGGAACAUAAAACUAUUUUUUCAACAAAAAAAUGAAUUUCUAAUAUUCUAAAUUAUUUUUAACUUGUAAAUAACAAUUCAAGAAGAGAAAUUAAAGAUACUUCUUUAUAUAUUUGAAAUUCAACCAAACAUCAACAAAAUCAUUUAAUUACAUAAAGACUUAAAACAAAUAUAAAAUAUAAAAUUUGACAUAGAAAUUCAUAAUGAAACUGUGUUAUCUCUAAACAACCUUAAUGCUAUUCUAUAUUUUAAAAUACACAAGAAGCUAUUUCUGGUACAUACAACCACAGUUACUUGAAAAUACAGUCUCUUCAUUUUCACCUAUAACUAACAAUAUUUCUUUUCCUAUUGACUAAAAGGACAAAUUUUUUUUACAUCUCAUGAAUUUAUAUUCCUUCGUCGUCAUCAAAAUUACAAUCAGAAUCAAAAAAAGAAAUCCCAACGGCUUUGAAGAUAGUAGGAAUCUCGUAUUCUUCCCCUUUAUAGUACUUCUCUAUCAUCUUCUUUAGCAUUCACAAGUAAAAAGGAUUAAAUAGAGCCAAAUAUAAAUACAUGAUGAUAGUGUCGGCUCAUAUUCAUAUCUAUUUGAGAACGCCAAGACACCAUCACCGCAAGAACAACACAUCAAGAACACCAUUGCAAGAAACAGUUCCACCAAAUUUAUGAUUUUAAUUGGACCCAUUCUCUCUUCCAUAUAUGGUUUUAUAGCAGCAUCCAUGCUUGUACAAGCCAAAGAAAACAAAUAUUUUGCUUUUAACAACAGAAAAAACUAAUUUAAGAAUGGGAUGUGUUGCCUCAAAACUAGAAGAAGAAGAAGAAAUGUACCUAUCUGUAGAGAAAGAAAACCAACUUCACCUUUUCCCAUUGCUUUUCCUUCCUUCUUUUUCUACCUCUAGCUACCGUUCUUGGAUAGCUUGCUUGCGGACGAUCCGCCUUCCCUCCCCCCCCCCCCCCCCCCCCACACCAGCCUUUGACAACACUCAUUGACCGGGGAAGAAGAUUAAGAAGCUUGAAAAUUGGCUCUUCUUGAAAAAACAUAAAAAUGUAAAGAGAAAGAGUAAAAAUGUGAGGAAUUAAAACUGGAGGUAAUUUUGUAAUUAUAUUGAAAAAAAAAAGCAUAUAGGAUCUAAUUCCCUCUAAUUUAUUUUGAAUACUUUGAUUUCAUACAAUUUUAUAAUUUUUAUUCUUUGUGAACUUUAUAGAUUGAUAAUAUUAAUAUUUAAUAAUUUUUUGAUCAAUCAGAUAUAUUAAUUAUAAAAAAAUAUAUAAACCAUUUUAAUAUUAAAAUAAAAAUAUUCACAAACAUAUAUCACUAUUUCAAAAAUUAACAUAUAUAUGUCACUACUGAAAAAUAUCAAUUUAUUAGUUACUCGAGGAAUAGAUGUAAAUCAUGUAAUUAAUUAAAAAAGAAAUUCCAAGAAGAUACAUACAAGUAGCUGCUAGUCGUCUCAUCCUUUCCAUAGCCACUUUUGUAUCCAUCUCUCAAGUUUUGAGACACAUGCCCGACCUGACUUUAUUAUGUGUAAGAUAUUAGCCCAAAUUAACCAUGCAAAUCAAACAGUAAGCUUAACAAGUUCUCGUCCUUACUAUACGCUUUCUCUUCUAUAAAUACCAACCUCUACCACCCCAUUUAUCACAAAUUAUAAACAGCAUUCCCUCCUCUGUAGCUACCACCAAGAUGGUUAAGCCAAUCCUGCUGUGUGCUUCUCUUUGCCUUAUUCUUCUCUUCCAUGGCUCCUCUGCUGGCUCUUCAUUUCAGCAGCAAAACGAGUGCCAACUCAAUAGGCUCAAUGCCUUUGAACCUGAUAACCGUAUUCAGAGCGAAGCUGGUACAAUUGAGUCAUGGAAUCCUAACCACGAUCAGUUCCAGUGCGCUGGUGUGGCUGUAACCAGGCACACUAUUGAACCCAGAGGCCUUCUGUUGCCAGCUUACAGCAAUGCUCCCCAACUCGUCUAUAUAGUCCAAGGUAUGUAGAAAUACGAAGUCUUUCUUUCAAAAGCAGCAAAAAAAGAUUACUUGCAUUUGCAUUUGUUUGAUAAGUGCUUAAGAUGAUGACUUAAAUAUGUAAAUUCAGGUAGGGGUAUGUUCGGGGUCAUGUUUCCUGGAUGCGCUGAAACAUUCCAAGAAUCUCAACAAUCCAGUAGCAGCAGUAGGCAACAAGAGCAGCACCAAAAGAUUCGUCAUUUCCGCCGUGGCGAUAUCAUUGCUUUGCCUGCAGGAGCAGCCCACUGGUGCUACAACGAUGGCAGCGAACCCGUUGUUGCUGUCACUAUUUUUGACACUGCCAACAACGCUAACCAGCUCGACAGGAAUCCCAGG
rnacentral:lncRNA from 1 species